rnacentral:rRNA from 1 species
UACAGAGGAGCCAAGCGUUGUCCGGAUUGACUGGGCGUAAAGCGCACGCAGGCGGACGCGCGCGUGGGGUGUGAAAUCUGGCCGCUUAACGGCCAGGCGCCAUCCCAUACGGCGCGUCUGGAGUGAUGCAGAGGUCGGUGGAAUUGCCGGUGUAGUGGUGAAAUGCGUAGAUAUCAGGAAGAACACCCGUGGCGAAAGCGGCUCUCUGGAACGGUACUGACGCUGAGACGCGAAAGCGUGGGGAGCGAACAGG